rnacentral:rRNA from 1 species
AGUCACUGACAUUAGAUACCCGGGUAGUCCAGGGUGUAAACGCUGCAGACUUGGUGUUGGGAACCCUUCGGGGGUGCUCAGUGCCGGAGAGAAGUUGUUAAGUCUGCUACUUGGGAGUACGUCCGCAAGGAUGAAACUUAAAGGAAUUGGCGGGGGAGCACCGCAACGGGAGGAGCGUGCGGUUUAAUUGGAUUCAACGACCGAAAACUCACCAGCAGCGACUGUUACAUGAAAGUCAGGUUGAUGACCUUACUAGAUUUUCAG